rnacentral:rRNA from 1 species
AUUGAACGCUGGCGGCAGGCCUAACACAUGCAAGUCGAGCGGAUGAGUGGAGCUUGCUCCAUGAUUCAGCGGCGGACGGGUGAGUAAUGCCUAGGAAUCUGCCUGGUAGUGGGGGACAACGUUUCGAAAGGAACGCUAAUACCGCAUACGUCCUACGGGAGAAAGUGGGGGAUCUUCGGACCUCACGCUAUCAGAUGAGCCUAGGUCGGAUUAGCUAGUUGGUGUGGUAAAGGCUCACCAAGGCGACGAUCCGUAACUGGUCUGAGAGGAUGAUCAGUCACACUGGAACUGAGACACGGUCCAGACUCCUACGGGGGGCAGCAGUGGGGAAUAUUGGACAAUGGGCGAAAGCCUGAUCCAGCCAUGCCGCGUGUGUGAAGAAGGUCUUCGGAUUGUAAAGCACUUUAAGUUGGGAGGAAGGGCAGUAAGUUAAUACCUUGCUGUUUUGACGUUACCAACAGAAUAAGCACCGGCUAACUUCGUGCCAGCCGCCGCGGUAACAC